rfam:West Nile virus from Madagascar, complete genome
AGUAGUUCGCCUGUGUGAGCUGACAAACUUAGUAGUGUUUGUGAGGAUUAACAACGAUUAACACAGUGCGAGCUG